rnacentral:rRNA from 1 species
UACGUAGGGGGCAAGCGUUGGUCCGGAUUUAUUGGGCGUAAAGAGCAGUGUAGGCGGCUUGGUAGGUCCGCUGUGAAAACUCGAGGCUCAACCUCGAGAUGUCGGCGGAAACCACUUGGCUAGAGUCCGGAAGAGGAGAGUGGAAUUCCUGGUGUAGCGGUGAAAUGCGCAGAUAUCAGGAAGAACACCUAUGGCGAAGGCAGCUCUCUGGGACGGUACUGACGCUGAGACGCGAAAGCGUGGGGAGCGAACAGG